ensembl:lncRNA
GGACUUGCUCACCUCGGUGCUAUGCCAGCGCGCCAUGGCCAGUCAGAAGGCUACGGAACUUAAAACGUGGGGACUGAUAUUAGGAGCCCUUAAAGCGGCCAGAAUUGAGGGAAAGGUAUUGGUGGAGGCUCGAUACCUUUUGGGUCUCAGCGGAGGAGGUGAGACACAGGACCCGGUCGGGUCCGAUGGGGGUUCGGGAGCAGUUUCUUGCAGGGGCCGAGAGGAGACGGAGCCGCCAAUGACCGUUAGCGGGAUGGCGCCGGCUGAGCCGACCGCGCUCAGUUCAAAAGAAGACAAACAACAAGAGAGUGAAAGUUCGUUGUCUCGUCCCCCUCUCCCGUAUCCACACCCCUCAGGCGGAACGUUGUAUCCUUUAUCAGAAUUACGUCAGUGUUACCUGAUUCAAGGGGGCGGAGGAAGCUGUGAUCUACACGUGCAGGAUCAACUUAGUGCCCACAUGGGGAGGGACCAGACAAAAGGUCCGUCCAAUGCGGACAGGGGGCAUAGCCUACCGUCUCUGGUCACUCCCAGGGGCGGUAGUGCGAGUGAUAGUGUAGAAGAGAAAGAAGGGACUGGCUUUGAGUGCAGGGGGAGGGAUCAAAUGACGGACUGGAAUGGGAUUAGAUCGGAGGCUUUGGGAAAGGGUAUAGUUCCAGAGGCAUUCCGGGUGAUUGAUGCUUGCAGAACUGCCUUCAACGAAUGAUGGACAAGACUUUUGACUAUCACAUUGAGUAUCAUAGAUUGCGUGAAAAAUUAUAGAGGGGUUUAGGUUGUUGCGUUCGUGCUGUAACGGGGCAAGGCUUGGCCGAGCACGGAAAAGAAUUCCCUGUUGCUCUGAUGAUUGCUUAAGAACUGUAGUAGAAAAAUAGUAGGAAUAGUGUGCUGAAAUAUAUUUAGGAUUAGGCGUUUUGCGCUGCUUCGCGAUGUACGGGUUAGGUGUGUGUGUAAGUAGUAUUUAGCUUAGGGAGGGGGAGAUGUUGUAGUAGGCGUCUUGCGGGGGCACGGGAUGUACGGGACAGGCCUCUCCCUAAACAUAGAGAGAUAGUGCUAUCGUGCUGACCUUGUUGCAGAGAAAACAGGAGAAGAAGAAGGAUGAUAAAAGAAUAUGGAAACGGCCAAAUAAGGCACAAUGUUAUCUGGUGUGAACUAAUCAGAGUGGGACAUGACAGCACGGUUAUCUAGGUAAAAAUGUAUAUAAGCUGUGUUUAGUAGUGAAUAAACGCCAUUUGCCUCACUUACUCCUGGGGUCUGGGUGAGCAUCUGGCCCCGACCUGGUAAAGGGUCGGUUUCGCCCAGCAGUAAGCCCUACAUGUGGACAG